GAUGAACGCUGGCGGCGUGCCUAAUACAUGCAAGUCGAGCGAACGGACGAGAAGCUCGCUUCUCUACUGUUAGCGGCGGACGGGUGGGUAACACGUGGAUAACCUACCUAUAAUUCGGGGAUGACUUCGGAAAACCGCUUCUAAUACCGGCGGAUACUUUGAACCGCAUGGUUCAAAAGUUAUUGACGGCCUUGCUGUCACUUAUAGCUGGAUCCGCGCUGCAUUAGCUAGUUGGUAAGGUAACGGCUUACCAAGGCAACGAUGCAUAGCCGACCUGAGAGGAUGAUCGGCCACACUGGAACUGAGACACGGUCCAGACUCCUACGGGAGGCAGCAGUAGGGAAUAUUCGGCAAUGGGCGAAAGCCUGACGGAGCAACGCCGCGUGAGUGAUGAAGGUCUUCGGAUCGUAAAGCUCUGUUAUUAGGGAAGAAAAGCUGUAUGAGAAACCGUGCACGUCUUGACGGUACCCAAUCAGAAAGCAACGGCUAACUACGUG
rnacentral:rRNA from 1 species